CUGCGAAACAGCCCUGCGGGGCUGUCGUCCGGGCGUGGCGGCCCGGGCCUGAUGAGCAGCCACGG
rnacentral:hammerhead_ribozyme from 1 species